AAAUAAAUAACCUUAUGUUAAAAAAAAAAUUAUGCUAAGUCUACUCUGCCUGGGCUCUAUAAAUGGAACAACAAAGCGUGGAUGACAGCACAUCUGUUUACGGCAUGGUUUACUGAAUAUUUUAAGCCCACUCUUGAGACCUACUGCUCAGAAAAACAGAUUCCUUUCAAAAUAUUACUGCUCAUUGAAAAUGCACCUGGUCAUCCAAAAGCUCU